rnacentral:rRNA from 1 species
GGAGCUUGCUCCCUGAUGUUAGCGGCGGACGGGUGAGUAACACGUGGGUAACCUGCCUGUAAGACUGGGAUAACUCCGGGAAACCGGGGCUAAUACCGGAUGGUUGUUUGAACCGCAUGGUUCAAACAUAAAAGGUGGCUUCGGCUACCACUUACAGAUGGACCCGCGGCGCAUUAGCUAGUUGGUGAGGUAACGGCUCACCAAGGCAACGAUGCGUAGCCGACCUGAGAGGGUGAUCGGCCACACUGGGACUGAGACACGGCCCAGACUCCUACGGGAGGCAGCAGUAGGGAAUCUUCCGCAAUGGACGAAAGUCUGACGGAGCAACGCCGCGUGAGUGAUGAAGGUUUUCGGAUCGUAAAGCUCUGUUGUUAGGGAAGAACAAGUACCGUUCGAAUAGGGCGGUACCUUGACGGUACCUAACCAGAAAGCCACGGCUAACUACGUGCCAGCAGCCGCGGUAAUACGUAGGUGGCAAGCGUUGUCCGGAAUUAUUGGGCGUAAAGGGCUCGCAGGCGGUUUCUUAAGUCUGAUGUGAAAGCCCCCGGCUCAACCGGGGAGGGUCAUUGGAAACUGGGGAACUUGAGUGCAGAAGAGGAGAGUGGAAUUCCACGUGUAGCGGUGAAAUGCGUAGAGAUGUGGAGGAACACCAGUGGCGAAGGCGACUCUCUGGUCUGUAACUGACGCUGAGGAGCGAAAGCGUGGGGAGCGAACAGGAUUAGAUACCCUGGUAGUCCACGCCGUAAACGAUGAGUGCUAAGUGUUAGGGGGUUUCCGCCCCUUAGUGCUGCAGCUAACGCAUUAAGCACUCCGCCUGGGGAGUACGGUCGCAAGACUGAAACUCAAAGGAAUUGACGGGGGCCCGCACAAGCGGUGGA